GACGAACGCUGGCGGCGUGCCUAAUACAUGCAAGUUGAGCGAUGAAGAUUGGUGCUUGCCCCAAUUUGAAGAGCAGCGAACGGGUGAGUAACGCGUGGGGAAUCUGCCUUUGAGCGGGGGACAACAUUUGGAAACGAAUGCUAAUACCGCAUAAUAACUUUAAACAUAAGUUUUAAGUUUGAAAGAUGCAAUUGCAUCACUCAAAGAUGAUCCCGCGUUGUAUUAGCUAGUUGGUGAGGUAAAGGCUCACCAAGGCGAUGAUACAUAGCCGACCUGAGAGGGUGAUCGGCCACAUUGGGACUGAGACACGGCCCAAACUCCUACGGGAGGCAGCAGUAGGGAAUCUUCGGCAAUGGACGAAAGUCUGACCGAGCAACGCCGCGUGAGUGAAGAAGGGUUUCGGAUCGUAAAACUCUGUUGGUAGAGAAGAACGUUGGUGAGAGUGGAAAGCUCAUCAAGUGACGGUAACUACCCAGAAAGGGACGGCUAACUACGUG
rnacentral:rRNA from 1 species